rnacentral:rRNA from 1 species
AGAGCGAACGCUGGCGGCAGGCUUAACACAUGCAAGUCGAGCGGGCGUAGCAAUACGUCAGCGGCAGACGGGUGAGUAACGCGUGGGAACGUACCUUUUGGUUCGGAACAACACAGGGAAACUUGUGCUAAUACCGGAUAAGCCCUUACGGGGAAAGAUUUAUCGCCGAAAGAUCGGCCCGCGUCUGAUUAGCUAGUUGGUGAGGUAACGGCUCACCAAGGCGACGAUCAGUAGCUGGUCUGAGAGGAUGAUCAGCCACAUUGGGACUGAGACACGGCCCAAACUCCUACGGGAGGCAGCAGUGGGGAAUAUUGGACAAUGGGCGAAAGCCUGAUCCAGCCAUGCCGCGUGAGUGAUGAAGGCCCUAGGGUUGUAAAGCUCUUUGUGCGGGAAGAUAAUGACGGUACCGCAAGAAUAACGCCCGGCUAACUUCGUGCCAGCAGCCGC